GCGAAGAACGCUGCAUGACCUGUAUCAAGUAGAGCUAAAGAUACAUUAUUUCAGCUAGCAUGCAUCUCUGAUCUUAAGUAUCUUUUGUUUGUUUCAGCUAUCAACAAAAACGAACUGGUGCCCAUUGUGGAUUGCUUCCAACCAACAUAUUAUAUGGGCUGAAAAUCUUUUAGUAAUUAACAGCUCAGUGUGGUAUGUUGGCAAAAGAGAAGACCUGAGACUGUCACAGAAAGUGAAAGAUGAAGCCUCUUGUUCUCUUGGUCCUUGUGAUCUGUACUGUAGUCAGCAUGAAUUUGAAGCUCGUGUCAAAGAGAAAUUCUGAUGAUACAAUGAUGGCCAGUCAGCCCCUGUAACACACAGCAGGAGAAGACAUGUAUGCCCACAAGCCCUCUCUGCCAUCAUGGAGGAACAAAGGAGCAAGAUGUAGGACCUGAAAACCCCAAUUUCAUCUGAAGUGGCAUAUUGAUCACCUCCACUGCCUGCCCAGACCCCCAUUCAGAGCUCAGAGAAGCACAAACCUCUCCUCUUGCAGAGUUGGAUGUUGUGCCUUUUGGUAUGUUGGGACAAACAAGUUGCUUCUCCACUUGCUGUGACUGUUGUGUGAUAUAAAACUGUGCUGUGGCUGGUAAAUGAUUCAUUAAGCUGCAACCAUGAUAACCAAAACUCUUAAGAUCUGAAAUCAGCUUUGACCUCUUUAUUACUGUACAGAGGUUACUAGUACUGUACAACUCGUACUAGCAUGUACAUUAGCAAUUAAGAAGUCAGAAAAGGGGAGACAUGAACAAUAGUCCAUCUGUUUGACAGAAAUAACUAUUAAGAUCAGUAUGAAUUGAGAUGCUUCUUUACUACUUAAAUUGCUCUAAUGAAUAAUGUUCUUGUGGUAGAAUUGCCUCAUUUGUAAAUUAAAAUUCUUUGGGAAACCCCAAGGAAGAAGACUUGUGAAGUUCUAG
rnacentral:lncRNA from 1 species